rnacentral:rRNA from 1 species
UACGAAGGGGGCUAGCGUUGCUCGGAAUCACUGGGCGUAAAGCGCACGUAGGCGGCUUUUUAAGUCAGAGGUGAAAUCCUGGAGCUCAACUCCAGAACUGCCUUUGAUACUGGCGAUCUUGAGUCCGGGAGAGGUGAGUGGAACUGCGAGUGUAGAGGUGAAAUUCGUAGAUAUUCGCAAGAACACCAGUGGCGAAGGCGGCUCACUGGCCCGGUACUGACGCUGAGGUGCGAAAGCGUGGGGAGCAAACAGG